AUUGAACGCUGGCGGCAGGCCUAACACAUGCAAGUCGAGCGGAUGAAGCGAGCUUGCUCCUGGAUUCAGCGGCGGACGGUGAGCGAUGCCUAGGAAUCUGCCUGGUUGUGGGGGAUCACGUUCGGAAACGGGCGCUAAUACCGCAUACGUCUUGCGGGAGAAAGUGGGGGAUCUUCGGACCUCACGCUAUCAGAUGAGCCUAGGUCGGAUUAGCUCGUUGGUGGGGUAAAGGCCUACCAAGGCGACGCUCCGUAACAGGUCUGAGAGGAUGAUCAGUCACACUGGAACUGAGACACGGUCCAGACUCCUACGGGAGGCAGCAGUGGGGAAUAGUGGACAAUGGGCGAAAGCCUGAUCCAGCCAUGCCGCGUGUGUGAAGAAGGUCUUCGGAUUGUAAAGCACUUUAAGUUGGGAGGAAGGGCAGUAAGUUAAUACCUUGCUGUUUUGACGGUACCAACAGAAUAAGCACCGGCUAACUUCGUG
rnacentral:rRNA from 1 species